GAUGAAGAACGUAGCGAAAUGCGAUAAGUAAUGUGAAUUGCAGAAUUCAGUGAAUCAUCGAAUCUUUGAACGCACCUUGCGCCCUUUGGCCAUUCCGAAGGGCAUGCCUGUUUGAGUAUCAUGAACACCUCAACUCUUCAUGGUUUUCCAUGAUGAGCUUGGACUUUGGGGGUCUUGCUGGCCUGUGGGUCGGCUCCUCUCAAAUGAAUCAGCUUGCCGGUUUUUGGUGGGCAUCACAGGUGUGAUAACUAUCUACGCUUGUGGUUUUCCACCAGGGUAACCUUCAGCAGUGGAGGUUCACUGUAGCUUACAAAUGUCUCUCCUCUGUGAGGACAGCCCUUUGAAUGUUUGAUCUCAAAUCAGGUAGGACUACCCGCUGAACUUAAGCAUAUCAAUAAGCGGAGGA
rnacentral:misc_RNA from 1 species